rnacentral:rRNA from 1 species
CCUACGGGAGGCAGCAGUGAGGAAUAUUGGUCAAUGGACGAGAGUCUGAACCAGCCAAGUAGCGUGAAGGAUGACUGCCCUAUGGGUUGUAAACAUCUUUUAUAAAGGAAUAAAACGAGGCACGUGUGCCUUUUUGCAUGUACUUUAUGAAUAAGGAUCGGCUAACUACGUGCCAGCAGCCGGGGUAAUACGGAGGAUCCGAGCGUUAUCCGGAUUUAUUGGGUUUAAAGGGAGCGUAGAUGGGUUGUUAAGUCAGUUGUGAAAGGUCUCGGCUCAACCGUAAAAUUGCAAUUGAUACUGGCAGUCUUGAGUAUAGUAGAGGUGGGUAGAAGUCGAGGUGUAGCGGUGAAAUGCUUAGAGAUCUCGAAGAACCCCGAUUGCGAAGGCAGCUUACUAGACUGUGACUGACAUUGAUGCUCGAAAGUGUGGGUAUCAAACAGGAUUAGAUACCCUAGUAGUC